rnacentral:rRNA from 1 species
UGGGGAAUAUUGCACAAUGGGCGCAAGCCUGAUGCAGCCAUGCCGCGUGUAUGAAGAAGGCCUUCGGGUUGUAAAGUACUUUCAGCGGGGAGGAAGGGAGUAAAGUUAAUACCAUUGCUCAUUGACGUUACCCGCAGAAGAAGCACCGGCUAACUCCGUGCCAGCAGCCGCGGUAAUACGGAGGGUGCAAGCGUUAAUCGGAAUUACUGGGCGUAAAGCGCACGCAGGCGGUUUGUUAAGUCAGAUGUGAAAUCCCCGGGCUCAACCUGGGAACUGCAUCUGAUACUGGCAAGCUUGAGUCUCGUAGAGGGGGGUAGAAUUCCAGGUGUAGCGGUGAAAUGCGUAGAGAUCUGGAGGAAUACCGGUGGCGAAGGCGGCCCCCUGGACGAAGACUGACGCUCAGGUGCGAAAGCGUGGGGAGCAAACAGG